GGGAUUUCUUCUUGGGAAGAACAUCAAAUGGCAUUUCGUUGGAAACUAGCUGUUCUGGGAUCGAAGAGGACAACAGAGGGAGAGAAGUGAUAUCUCUAAUUGUCACAAAUAGGGAAGGGACAAGGAAAAGGAGGAAAUAUAAAGGCAGCAACUGCAUAAUCAAGAGGAUGAACAAUUACGAAGUGAAGAUCCUGGCACUGAAGAGCCUGGGCUUGGGAAUCCAGGUUUGAAGCUUUGGCAACUACAGUUCAGAGUACAGCCGAUAGUCUGCAAAAGAGGAGGAUAAAUACCGAUCUGUGUGGCAAUCAACUCUGAAAGGUUUUCAGCGGCCACGCAGUAAAAGGAACAACAAUCUCAACUAAGAGCGAUCCAUGUAUGGAAUUUGUUAUUCCCAUCCCC